rnacentral:lncRNA from 1 species
UUUUUUUAGAUACCUUUUAUCGUUUCCAAAUGAACGAAAAACCUAACUCAUUCCCCAGUUGAACGAAAAACAAUAAAACAUCGAAUCCUAAAUCACUACUGAAAAUCCUAACUCGCUGCUGCGUCAACGGCAGUGCGAGUGCAUCAACGACAACCCAUCUUUUUUCCAGGUAAAUUCUGUUCUCUUCGAUUUACAAUCGAUUUACAGUAGAAUCGACUUCGCUGCCGAAAAAACCUAACUCACUGCUGCGUCAACGACAAUGUGAUUUACAGUGUGUCAACAACAGCCCAUCUUUUUUCAGGUAAAUUCUCUUCUCUUCGAUUUACAAAGAUUUAUAGUAGAAUCAAUUUACAGUAAAUUAACUUCUCUUCUUCCAAUCGAUUUACAGUAGAUUUUGUAUUGAUGUUGGUCGAUUGAUUUACAGUAAAUCAGUUCCCAACUCGUUAUUGCAUCAACAGCCUGCCGUAGUGCCCGUCCAUCUUCUUCCCUUGUUAACUUCUUUUUUUUUCCCGGUUAAAUCAGUCGCUUGCAAUCGAUUUACGGUAGAUUUUGAAUUGAUUCUUGUCGAUCGAUUUACAAUAGAUUAUGUGUACAUUAAUCUGGUAAAAGUCAUGUUAUUAUUUGGAUGUAGAAAAUCCUGAUUUAGGAAGUUUGUUUCGGCUGCUUAUCUCGUAUAUCUAAAUUUCUCUUAUGUUAUAAACCAAUUUUUGGGAAUGAAACUUAUAUAGUUGCCGAGGUUAAUGUUCUUGUACAUGGGAUUCGUGUUCUAUAUGAAACGAUGUAUUUAGCAUGGACAAAAAAUUUCAGAUCCUUUAAUAAGCAUGGACGCCCUUCGUUACUUUAAGAAUGACCUUCAAAUGGUGUAAAACAGGCCCUCAGCUAUUUAUAUAUUAGAUUGAACUUUGUUAAGUGCUUAGAUAAAGAAUAUAAAUAUAUAGAGUACCGCUGAGAUAUCUUUCUGAUUGCAAAAUCUAUCUAUUGCCAAGACUUAUUCUUUUCCGUGUUAAAGGUCCAUGUCAUGGGUGUGAGGUUUUCUAGAAAAGCAGUUAUGAAUAAUCUAUAAAUUAGUGUACUAUUGAGUUAAAAGAAAUAGAAUUCUUGCAGUAAUUUGUAAAUAAUUAUGAACCUAUACUUACCAGAACAUUUAAGGUUUUAGUUAGAGUAGGAGUACAUAAUUCUAUCCUUAAGAGAGAAUUUCAUUAAGCUAGUAACUAAAGUAAGGUACACAAGCUAUCAUAUUUUUAUUUCUUUUCUAUCAUCAUGGUAAGAAAUGAUUGCUUAUUCUUAUUCAUAUAAUGAUAUGAUAGACAUUGCAUCUUAGGAACUUAUAUUUGCUUAGGGAAAUUUGAUUUUAAGAGGUCAGGUUUGGAUGUAGAUUAUUAAAUAGGUUGUGAAUAUGCGAAAGUAUAUUGACCUACCAUGUUUUUACCAAAAUAUAUUACUAGUUGUACUUUUAGUAUAUUGUUUGAACAAACUUCUGAUAUUCUUAGUUGUGACUAGUGUGUAGCCGAAAUUUCUACAUCCAACUGAAGGAAGAGAAUGGAUCAAUAUUUUUAUCUUUUUAAUCUUUAAAUUGCAAUUUGUUGUAAUAAUAAUGUGUAAAAGUCGCAGAUAAAAGCAGAUCACUUAACGAAUUGCGGUUAAACUAUGUCAAUGAUCAAAAAUAUCUUUGUAUUAAUUCGUGUGCUUCGUCUUCUCUUGCGAAAAUCUAGGUCCUUUGCGCAUUUGUUCAAAAAAUAACCUGGACUACUUGAAGGUUGCUGACUGAGAUAUAAUACUGGACAGAUGCUUAAAGUGAAUACGUCUGAUGUGCUUAUGGUUUAUUCCGUGUUGCUAUCUUCUUCAGGAUAUUCUGGAGAAGGCCCAAACUCUCUCACUGCGAGCUUUAUUAAUUGAUUUGAUCCAGACAGUUUAUCUGAGAGGAGUAACUGGAAGUGCAUGAGGUCUAUCGCAUGUUCACUGUUUUGUGCUGUCUUUUAAAUUAUAUGUUGGCUUUAGAUAGUCAUGGGGAGAACUCUUACAUAAAUACUUUUUGGUCCUUGAAGUUCUUCUUCUGAUAAUUCAGUGGGGUUUUAGCGUAAUUUCAAAGGAUUUUCCCCCCAAUUUUAUGGUUUUAAAGCAGCUAAAAGAAUAUUUUGAAAUGUCCAUGCA